rnacentral:rRNA from 1 species
GUGCUUAACACAUGCAAGUCGAGUGCGCGUCUGUAGCAAUACAGAUGGCGCACGGCGCACGGGUGCGUAACACGUGGGCAAUCUGCCCUUCGAUGGGGAAUAUCUUCGGGAAACCGAAGCGAAUUCCGCAUAACAUUCCUUGGACUUCGGUUUGAGGACUCAAAGCCGUAAGGCGUCGAAGGAGGAGCCCGCGCCCGAUUAGCUAGUUGGUGGGGUAAUGGCCCACCAAGGCAAUGAUCGGUAGCUGGUCUGAGAGGAUGGCCAGCCACACUGGAACUGAGACACGGUCCAG